rnacentral:snoRNA from 1 species
AACCCAUAGUGAGGGCGCCUUCUUAAUAGGUCCUUGUAUCUCUCCUAUACAUCAUAAAGUGUUUCUAAAUCCAUCUGUACAAAACAAGAAAUAUCAUUCAUUAAUUU